ACAGCACUCUGCAAACACGAAAGUGGACGUAUAGGGUGUGACGCCUGCCCGGUGCUGGAAGGUUAAUUGAAGAUGUGAGAGCAUCGGAUCGAAGCCCCAGUAAACGGCGGCCGUAACUAUAACGGUCCUAAGGUAGCGAAAUUCCUUGUCGGGUAAGUUCCGACCUGCACGAAUGGCAUAAUGAUGGCCAGGCUGUCUCCACCCGAGACUCAGUGAAAUUGAAAUCGCCGUGAAGAUGCGGUGUACCCGCGGCUAGACGGAAAGACCCCGUGAACCUUUACUAUAGCUUGACACUGAACAUUGAAUUUUGAUGUGUAGGAUAGGUGGGAGACUUUGAAGUAGUCACGCCAGUGAUUAUGGAGUCGUCCUUGAAAUACCACCCUUUAACGUUUGAUGUUCUAACGAAGAUUACGAAACGUGGUCUCGGACAGUGUCUGGUGGGUAGUUUGACUGGGGCGGUCUCCUCCCAAAGAGUAACGGAGGAGCACGAAGGUUUGCUAAUCACGGUCGGACAUCGUGAGGUUAGUGCAAUGGUAUAAGCAAGCUUAACUGCGAGACAGACAAGUCGAGCAGGUACGAAAGUAGGUCAUAGUGAUCCGGUGGUUCUGAAUGGAAGGGCCAUCGCUCAACGGAUAAAAGGUACUCCGGGGAUAACAGGCUGAUACCGCCCAAGAGUUCAUAUCGACGGCGGUGUUUGGCACCUCGAUGUCGGCUCAUCACAUCCUGGGGCUGAAGUAGGUCCCAAGGGUAUGGCUGUUCGCCAUUUAAAGUGGUACGCGAGCUGGGUUUAGAACGUCGUGAGACAGUUCGGUCCCUAUCUGCCGUGGGCGUUGGAGAAUUGAUUGGGGCUGCUCCUAGUACGAGAGGACCGGAGUGGACGCAUCACUGGUGUUCCGGUUGUGUCGCCAGACGCAUUGCCGGGUAGCUACAUGCGGAAGAGAUAAGUGCUGAAAGCAUCUAAGCACGAAACUUGCCAAGAGAUGAGUUCUCCCACACAUCAAGUGUGUAAGGGUUGUUUAAGACUAAGACGUAGAUAGGUGCGGUGUGUAAGUGUAGUGAUACAUUGAGCUAACGCAUACUAAUUGCCCGAGAGGCUUAGCCAU
rnacentral:rRNA from 1 species